CUGGUUAGAGGGGCGGCAGGUAGCCUAGUGUUUAGAGGGGCGGCAGGUAGCCUAGUGGUUAGAGGGGCGGCAGGUAGCCUAGUGGUUAGAGGGGCGGCAGGUAGCCUAGUGGUUAGAGGGGCGGCAGGUAGCCUAGUGGUUAGAGGGGCGGCAGGUAGCCUAGUGGUUAGAGGGGCGGCAGGUAGCCUAGUGGUUAGAGGGGCGGCAGGUAGCCUAGUGGUUAGAGGGGCGGCAGGUAGCCUAGUGGUUAGAGGGGCGGCAGGUAGCCUAGUGGUUAGAGGGGCGGCAGGUAGCCUACUGGUUAGAGGGGCGGCAGGUAACCUAGU